GAUGAACGCUGGCGGCGUGCCUAAUACAUGCAAGUCGAGCGAACGGACUAGAAGCUUGCUUCUCUGAUGUUAACGGCGGACGGGUGAGUAACACGUGGAUAACCUACCUAUAAGACUGGGAUAACUUCGGGAAACCGUAGCUAAUACCGGAUAAUAUUCUGAACCGCAUGGUUCAAAAGUGAAAGACGGUCUUGCUGUCACUUAUAGAUGGAUCCGCGCUGCAUUAGCUAGUUGGUAAGGUAACGGCUUACCAGGGCAACGAUGCAUAGCCGACCUGAGAGGGUGAUCGGCCACACUGGAACUGAGACACGGUCCAGACUCCUACGGGAGGCAGCAGUAGGGAAUCUUCCGCAAUGGGCGAAAGCCUGACGGAGCAACGCCGCGUGAGUGAUGAAGGUCUUCGGAUCGUAAAACUCUGUUAUUAGGGAAGAACAUAUGUGUAAGUAACUGUGCACAUCUUGACGGUACCUAAUCAGAAAGCCACGGCUAACUACGUG
rnacentral:rRNA from 1 species